rnacentral:rRNA from 1 species
AUUGAACGCUGGCGGCAGGCUUAACACAUGCAAGUCGAGCGAGUGGCGGACGGGUGAGUAAUGUCUGGGAAAUUGCCUGCUGGAGGGGGAUAACUACUGGAAACGGUAGCUAAUACAGCAUACUAUCAGAUGUGCCCAGAUGGGAUUAGUGAGUGGGUGGGGUAAGGGCUCGCCGAGGCGACGAUCCCUAGCUGGUCUGAGAGGAUGAGCAGCCACACGGGAACUGAGACACGGUCCAGACUCCUACGUGAGGCAGCAGGGGUGAAGAUGGCACAAUGGGCGCAAGUCUGAUGCAGCCAUGCCGCGUGUGUGAAGAAGGCCUUCGGGUUGUAAAGCACUUUCAGCGAGGAGGCGUUACUCGCAGAAGAAGCACCGGCUAACUCCGUGCCAGCAGCCGCGGUAAUUC